GAUGAACGCUGGCGGCGUGCCUAAUACAUGCAAGUCGAGCGAACGGACGAGAAGCUUGCUUCUCUGAUGUUAGCGGCGGACGGGUGAGUAACACGUGGAUAACCUACCUAUAAGACUGGGAUAACUUCGGGAAACCGGAGCUAAUACCGGAUAAUAUUUUGAACCGCAUGGUUCAAAAGUGGAAGACGGUCUUGCUGUCACUUAUAGAUGGAUCCGCGCUGCAUUAGCUAGUUGGUAAGGUAACGGCUUACCAAGGCAACGAUGCAUAGCCGACCUGAGAGGGGGAUCGGCCACACGGGAACUGAGACACGGUCCAGACUCCUAGGGGAGGCAGCAGUAGGGAAUCUUCCGCAAUGGGCGAAAGCCUGCCGGAGCAACGCCGCGUGAGUGAUGAAGGUCUUCGGAUCGUAAAACUCUGUUAUUAGGGAAGAACAUAUGUGUAAGUAACUGUGCACAUCUUGACGGUACCUAAUCAGAAAGCCACGGCUAACUACGU
rnacentral:rRNA from 1 species